UCAUGGCCGAAGUGGACGAGAGUCACUUUUCUCUGUUGAGUCUGGAGGAUGAGCUGACCUGCAGCAUCUGUCUGAGUACCUUUGACUGUCCGGUGACCAUCCCCUGCGGACACAACUUCUGCCAGGACUGCCUCCUCGCCACCUGGAAGGAGUCCUACAGCUGCCCCCAGUGUCGGACCCACUUCGCCACCAAACCCGAGCUGAAGAAGAACACGGUCCUCAGCACCGUGGUGCAGACCUUCAACUUGAGGUCGACCAAGAGCGAGGCCAGCCCGGCCGAAGAGGAGAGCAAGGCCAAGACAGAGGAAGUCAUACGCUGUGAUGCCUGCAUGGAAGCAGAAGCAUCGCAGACCUGCCUUACCUGCAUGGCCUCUUUCUGUGAGGAGCACCUGCGCCCUCACCGGGAAAACCCAAACUUUAGUCUCCACCAGCUGAGUGAGCCUGUCGGCGACCUGUUGGAGCGUAUCUGCACUGUCCAUCACAAGAUGAUGGAGUUCUUCUGCACCCAACAUGGCCGACCAAUCUGCAGCCUCUGCCUCCAACAAGUCCACAAAGGCUGCCCCUUCAUGUCCCAUGAGGAGCAGAGGAACAUGAAAGAGUACGACCUCAGAGACAAGUUGGGUUUGCUGGACAGGAGGAUUGAGAAGACCGAGACUGUUAUGUUCCAAAUGAAUGACACAGAGAGCAAGCUGACGGACGCAGCAACCAAAAGGAAGACCGCAUUGACAGCUGUGUAUCAGCAGAUGCGGGAUAUGUUGGCCCAAGAAGAACACGAGGCCCAACAUGAGGUGGACCGCGAGCUGGAGAUUAACCAGAUGAAACUGCAGCACCUCAUGAAGAGGUUCACUGAGAAUUCUGAAAAGAUGAGAAAAGCCAGAGAAGAUAUAAACAGUCUGCUGAGUCGAUCCCAAACCUUGGCCUUUCUGCAGUCUUCAAUUAACUUGCCUAAGGCUGUAAACUUUGACCCUCACACCCCUCGGAUCAGCCUGGACUCCAAGAAGGUGACAGCAACACAGGGCUUUGCUGCUGCCCUGAAGGAGUAUCUGACAGAGAUCCUUAAACAGCCUGUUGAGGCCAGACUGCUGACGCUUAAACCAGGUGAAUGUGCAGAUGAAAAAGCAGCUCCUGCCCUGGGACCUGAACAUACUGGAAAUACUGGAUAUCAGCCGAAAUCUGAACAACCAGAGCCCCAAAAGCAGGAAGGACAGCCCAGGUCCCACAGUCCAGGUCGUCCACCCAUCCAACCAUAUUUCCAACCAGUUCCUGUACCUGUUUAUAUGGGAUCACAUGGAAGAUGGAAUCCAUCCCAGUAUGCACAGGGUCACCAGUCACCACGCUUUCCAUUUAUGGCAGGACAAUGGAAAAACCCACAAAAAGUGUUGAGAAAACCUAAUCAGGAAAAAAAGAAGAAAACCAUCUGCAAGCCGGUUCAUGAAGCGACCCCGAAAAAGGAUGGAGAAGCACGCAAGAAAAGCCACACUCUCAAAAACAAAGGUACUAGUAUUUUUGUAAUGAUUCGGACAAUUUUCAGUACAAAGAACCAUACAGUAGAGAGUUUCGCUACUUGGUCCAUUUGUGUGAUUUGUGUGCUGCAUGGCGAUUAAUGUCUUUGCACACAUGGGUCAUGCGGUGCUAGACUAUUCUGUGGAAAGGAAUGAGAGGACUUAUUUGGUGUGAAGACAGCUUUACACUCACAUCUGAGUUCAGUCACCAGCAGUCUUUUGUUUUCUAUCAUGGUGACAGAGUGUGACAGGUAUCAGCAUUUACCAAGAGGGUGGUGGCCCAGUAAACACUAAGAUCAGUAUAUUAUUCUUAGAAGAGCAAGACAAAAAAACCCCCAGUGGUCAGGGAGGAAAUAAGCCAAGUGGGAGAGGAUCUGAUUUCACCAAGAAAGACAACCCCAGAAGCCAUCCUUCAUCAGAGAAAUCAAAAAC